rnacentral:tRNA from 1 species
GCCCUCGUAGUUCAGCUGAAUAGAAUGUCAGAUUCCGGUUCUGAAGAUCGUGGGUUUGAAUCCCGCCGAGGGCACCA